GAAUGGGAGAGACUUGAAAGAGCGAUAAUUGAAAGUGCGAUACAAGCGGAGAUGUACAUAAUUGCAAUCGUACACAACUCCACUUACAUUGCACUUUCAAUUAUCGCUCUUUUAAAUCUUCCCCAUUC
rnacentral:miRNA from 1 species